CUGGAUUGGAGACUUCUGUUAAGGUCACUUAAUGAACAAGAAAUUAGAACAAGAAUUUAGAUGAUUUGAUGUGUGUUAGCCUGAUUAAUAAGUUAAUCAAUUAAUCCAUUCAACAAAUAGAGUAUCAACUAUGUAUUGGAGAAAGAUUAUCAACUAUGUAUUGGAGAUACACAGGGGAUCAAGAUAGGCACAAUCCUGCUUUCAUGAAGCCGAUAGUCCAGUGAGGCAUACAGAGGAGCAAAUCUUGGGAGAUUUAUUACAAUAGAGGGGGAUAAAUAUGAUUGAGUAACCAAAAGUUGCUAUGUGAGUCACAAGGGCGGGCCUAACUCAGACACGGGGAUCUGGAAAGGUUUCCUGGAGGUGGUAAUGUCUCAGCAGAGAGCUGAAAGGUGACUUAAGCAGACAAUACAGGGGCAGCUGGAUCGGGGGUAGGGGGAGAGAAGGAGUACAAAGUUUUGAAGACAAAGGAGGGUUUGGCAGCUAAUUCAGUGUGGCUGCAGUGUGAUGUGUGGUUGCUUCACUGUGGGGGUGACGCAGAAGAGGUUCAGAGGAGCGGGAUUAUAGCACCAUCUCGACACCAGGCUUCCAUUGACGACCAGCUUUGGCUGUUCCAACUCACCACAGCCUCUGAAAGACCCAUGCUCUCUUUGGAUUGCUUGGUACCUGCAGCACGUUUCCAUGCCUGGGAGGUAUUGUAGCCAUUUCAUCAAUUAAUUCUCAGAGCUUAGUCUUAUUUCCCUUAUUGUCAAGUUCUUGGGCAGCACUGCACUGUACUCACAGAGCACCUGCAAGGGAGUGGGUUUGUCAGGGUGAAGUAACGGUGCAAGAGAGUGUGUGAUAAAGGGCCUUGGAGAGGAGCAGAAUGGAGAAGUGGCUGGAGCUGUGGGGGAGGUCUCCAGGGAGGCAGGACUUCAGCAGGACCCUGAAAGCUGAGUAAGUUUCAUCAGGGUGGUGGUAGGCAAGGAGUUUCUCUGGUAGAUUUGAGUAAUGGGACAUUGGUUAUAGAAACUGAAUCUUGAUUUUAGUGUUGAAUGAACUAUGAGGUUAUAAAUCUUUUUCAUUCUGUAACUCUGUUGGUUCGGUCAUGCAUUAUUUGGUCAGCUGGUACACUAAAGCCUUGACAGUUUUGACCCUCCAUUUGGCACUUUUUCCACUUUAGCAAUCUCAUAAGCCGGUUCCAAUAACAGCAAAUAGUAAGAAGCUGAGUCCAGGUCUUUCGCUCUAAUUUCCCCAGGGCACCCCAGCUUCACUGUAGUUUCUCAGAUCCAAUGAUGGCAAGAGAGUUGAUACACCUCCUAAGUGCAGUCUCUAUAAUUUAAAAUUUCAGGGAGGUUACAUCCUGAACAAGGUGGCACAGCUACAUCAUGACAUCUUAAAAUUGAGUAGUUUCUGAGAACCAGAGUUGUAGAAGCAUACCACAUCUGUACCAACUUGUUGAAGUAAAAGGAUAAAUUGUAGAGAAGGUACUUAAAAAGCUUAUCAAAUAUAAAAUAUUUUGGUACAACUGAAUUGGAAAAGUUGCAGUUAAGUCAGAA
rnacentral:lncRNA from 10 species